UGGGGAAUCUUCCGCAAUGGACGAAAGCCUGACGGAGCAACGCCGCGUGAGUGAAGACGGCCUUCGGGUUGUAAAGCUCUGUGAUCCGGGACGAAAGAGCCUGAGGUAAAUAGCCUAAGGAAGUGACGGUACCGGAAAAGCAAGCCACGGCUAACUACGUGCCAGCAGCCGCGGUAAUACGUAGGUGGCAAGCGUUGUCCGGAAUUAUUGGGCGUAAAGCGCGCGCAGGCGGCUUCCUAAGUCCAUCUUAAAAGUGCGGGGCUUAACCCCGUGAUGGGAUGGAAACUGGGAAGCUGGAGUAUCGGAGAGGAAAGUGGAAUUCCUAGUGUAGCGGUGAAAUGCGUAGAGAUUAGGAAGAACACCGGUGGCGAAGGCGACUUUCUGGACGAAAACUGACGCUGAGGCGCGAAAGCGUGGGGAGCAAACAGG
rnacentral:rRNA from 1 species